rnacentral:tRNA from 1 species
GGGGCUGUAGCUCAGUGGUAGAGCACUUGCCUAGCAAGUGUGAGGCACUUGGGUUCGAUCCUCAGCACCA